rnacentral:rRNA from 1 species
AGUGAACGCUGGCGGUAGGCCUAACACAUGCAAGUCGAACGGCAGCACAGUAAGAGCUUGCUCUUACGGGUGGCGAGUGGCGGACGGGUGAGGAAUACAUCGGAAUCUACUUUUUCGUGGGGGAUAACGUAGGGAAACUUACGCUAAUACCGCAUACGACCUACGGGUGAAAGCAGGGGAUCUUCGGACCUUGCGCGAUUGAAUGAGCCGAUGUCGGAUUAGCUAGUUGGCGGGGUAAAGGCCCACCAAGGCGACGAUCCGUAGCUGGUCUGAGAGGAUGACCAGCCACACUGGAACUGAGACACGGUCCAGACUCCUACGGGAGGCAGCAGUGGGGAAUAUUGGACAAUGGGCGCAAGCCUGAUCCAGCCAUGCCGCGUGGGUGAAGAAGGCCUUCGGGUUGUAAAGCCCUUUUGUUGGGAAAGAAAAGCAUCAAGUUAAUACCCCGCCGUUUUGACGGUACCCAAAGAAUAAGCACCGGCUAACUUCGUG